rnacentral:rRNA from 1 species
GGUGACUAACACAUGCAGUCGAGCGAGAACUUCGGUUCUAGCGGCGGACGGGUUAGUAACGCGUGGGAACGUGCCCUUCACUACGGAAUAGUCCCGGGAAACUGGGUUUAAUACCGUAUACGCCCUUCGGGGGAAAGAAUUUCGGUGAAGGAUCGGCCCGCGUUAGAUUAGAUAGUUGGUGGGGUAACGGCCUACCAAGUCUACGAUCUAUAGCUGGUUUUAGAGGAUGAUCAGCAACACUGGGACUGAGACACGGCCCAGACUCCUACGGGAGGCAGCAGUGGGGAAUCUUAGACAAUGGGCGCAAGCCUGAUCUAGCCAUGCCGCGUGAGUGAUGAAGGCCUUAGGGUCGUAAAGCUCUUUCGCCAGGGAUGAUAAUGACAGUACCUGGUAAAGAAACCCCGGCUAACUCCGUGCCAGCAGCCGCGGUAAUACGGAGGGGGUUAGCGUUGUUCGGAAUUACUGGGCGUAAAGCGCGCGUAGGCGGAUUGGAAAGUUGGGGGUGAAAUCCCAGGGCUCAACCCUGGAACUGCCUCCAAAACUAUCAGUCUAGAGUUCGAGAGAGGUGAGUGGAACUCCGAGUGUAGAGGUGAAAUUCGUAGAUAUUCGGAAGAACACCAGUGGCGAAGGCGGCUCACUGGCUCGAUACUGACGCUGAGGUGCGAAAGUGUGGGGAGCAAACAGGAUUAGAUACCCUGGUAGUCCACACC